AUGGCCAGAAACAAAGACCUUUCUUCUGAAACUCGUCAGUCUAUUCUUGUUCUGAGAAUUGAAGGCUGUUCCAUGCGAGAAAUUGCCAAGAAACUGAAGAUCUCGUACAACGCUGUGUACUACUCUCUCCACAGAACAGGACAAACNNNNNNNNNNNNNNNNNNNNUAAUCGACCUGGCCGGGGUAUCCUGGAAUGACAUCAACCUCAUCCCGACAGUAGAGGAUGCCUGGUUGUUCUUUAAAAGUGCCUUCCUCACCAUCUUAAAUAAGAAUGCUCCAUUCAAACAAUGUAGAACCAGGAAUAGAUAUAGCCCUUGGUUCACUCCAGACCUGUCUGCCCUUGACCAGCACAAAAACAUCCUGUGGCAUUCUGCAUUAGCAUCGAAUAGCCCCCAUGAUAUGCAACUUUUCAGGGAAGUUAGGAACCAAUAUACACAGGCAGUUAGGAAAGCUAAGGCUAGCUUUUUUAAACAGAAAUUUGCAUCCUGCAGUACAAACUCAAAAAAGUUCUGGGACACUGUAAAGUCCAUGGAGAAUAAGAGCGCCUCCUCCCAGCUACCCACUGCUCUGAGGCUAGGAAACACUGUUACAACCGAUAAAGCCACUAUAAUUAAGAAUUUCAAUAAGCAUUUCUCUACGGCUGGCCAUGCUUUCCACCUGGCUACCCCUACCCCGGUCAACUGCCCGGCACCGUCCACAGCAACCCGCCCAAGCCCCCACCAUUUCGCCUUCACCCAUAUCCAGAUAGCUGAUGUUCUGAAAGAGCUGCAAAAUCUGGACCCCUACGAAUCAGCCGGGCUAGACAAUCUGGACCCUCUCUUUCUAAAAUUAUCUGCCGAAAUUGUUGUAACCCCUAUUACUAGCCUGUUCAACCUCUCUUUCGUAUCGUCUGAGAUUCCCAAAGAUUGGAAAGCUGCCGCGGUCAUCCCCCUCUUCAAAGGGGGAGACACUCCAGACCCAAACUGCUACAGACCUAUAUCUAUCCUACCCUGCAUCUCUUAG
rnacentral:lncRNA from 8 species